GACGUAGGGCGCGAGCGUUUGUCCGGAUUUAUUGGGCGUAAAGAGCUCGUAGGCGGUUUGUCGCGUCGUUCGUGAAAACUCACAGCUUAACUGUGAGCUUGCGGUCGAUACGGGCAGGCUAGAGUUCGGUAGGGGAGACUGGAAUUCCUGGUGUAGCGGUGAAAUGCGUAGAUAUCUGGAGGAACACCGGUGGCGAAGGCGGCAUCCUGGACCGGCAUUGACGCUGAGGCGCGAAAGCCAGGGGAGCAAACGGG
rnacentral:rRNA from 1 species